rnacentral:lncRNA from 1 species
CUAAAGCAAUUAGUAUCUUCAUCAUGAUUUUGCAAUUGUCUUCUGUUCUUCUAUUAGUUUCAUAAAGAAUUGUCAUUCUGAAAACAGAGGGCAGAAACACUGGUUUAUGUCUAAUAAUGCAGUAUACCUAAACCUCACACAAAAGGCACCUGCUGACAUAGGAGAAAGGGACUUUCUACAUGCUCAGAUUUAAACUACAAUCUGAUUUCUAGCACUACAUUUGGGAUACUGGGUUUUACUUAUAUCCUCUCAAUUUUAGAUUCCAGAGAUGUAUAUAUUUUUAAACACCACAGAUACAAUAGGAUCAUUAUUGAAAUUGCAUACUGAAAAUGAUAGGCCUGGUACACAGUCACUGCAAAAUGUU